GAACCUAACCCGAUUUAUGUCCUUCCCCUCAUGUCGAAUGUCAAGGCCAAGCUCCUCUGUAACUACGGGGGCGAGUUCACUCGCCAACUCGGGAAACCCAGCUACGUCGGCUGCAAAACUCGACUCAUCCUCAUCGACAAGUCGGUUAACUUCGACGGACUCCGAUUCAAGAUGAGUCAACUCAGUUCCGCUUCACCGAGUGGCAUUGAGAUCAAGUUCCAACUCCCCAACGAGACACUUGACUCUCGGCUCGUCUCCGUCGAGUGCGACGAUGACGUAGCUGCGAUGCUCAGCGAGUUCCAGGUUUCACAAAGGAUUCUGGUUUACGUAUUUGAUGCCGACGGUUCCGCUUCGUUUCUCAGGUUGAUAUGAAUGCAAGCAAUAUAGAAUCUGGUCCUGCAGUUUUCUCAUUGACCAUACCUUUCCUUGCUCAGUUGUAUUACUAUUACAUCCGUUUGUGACAUGAUUUUUUUUUUUUUUUUUUUUUUGGGGGGGGGGGGGGGGGUUUAAAAUGUGAUUUUAUAAAUGUGACCCAUAUUGCAUACGUUAGAUCUUAAUUUACAUUUUUGGUUAGCUAACCUUGUGAAUCUUGUAUACUUUUACAUUGCAUUAAUCAAGAAGAAGAAAAACUAAGAAUCGAAAAAUGCAUUUUGCAAGAUUCCAUAGUUCCAUGUUUUUACUUUUUUAUUUUACAUUAAGUCUAUUAUGUUGCUGCAGUAAAAAAAGUAAUUAAGUAAAUGAAUAUGAUACAUAAAAAUUAAAUUAAGAAAUGACAACUGCCAUGAAAAUGAAGACUUUCAUGGUAUGUUUGGCUUAGAUUGUAACUUUUUUAUUUUUGGGGAUCCCAUUGAUUGUUUGAGUUUGGGUAUUAUUUGCUACUCUUUUCUAAUUGGUUUGCUAUCUUGUUUGUAAAUUAGACAAUGAUUAAUUGACACAAAAUGCUAGUCUAGCUGUGAUCCAAGCUAAAUAUGAUACAUAAAAUUGAAUUAAGAUAUGACAACUGUAAUGAACAUGAAAACUUGCAUAGUAUAUUUGGCUUAGAUAUAAUUUUUUUACUUUUGGGGAUCCCAUUGGUUGUUUGAGUUUGGGUAUCAUUUGCUACUCCUUUUUAAUUGGUUUGCUAACCUGUUUAUAAAUUGGACAAUGAAUAAUUGUAGAGAGAAUUCUAGUUCAGCUGUAGCCCAAGCUGAAUAUAAUACAUAAAAUUGAAUUAAGGAAUGACAACUGCAAUGAGAAUGAAGACUUUCAUGGUAUAUUUGGCAUAGAUGCAACUUUUUUCAUUUUUGGGAUCCCAGUGAUUGUUUGAGUUGGGGUAUUAUUGGCUUCUCUUUUUUAAUUAAUUGGACAAUGAUUAGUUGUAAGAGAAUGCUAGUUCAGUAGUGACCCAAGCUGAAAUUGACUGUCCAACUUCAACCCACAGGUAUGGAAUAUGUGAUCCCUUCAGUCUGUUAUUUAUAAACUUGGUGAUGUUCCAAUACUUGUUCUGCCUUGUAGGGAGAAUACAAUUCCAAGUGAUGCACAAGAAUUUGCUGAUGCUGAAGAUGAUCUCAUAUCACUUCCUAGGUACAUGGAUUUAGUUUGUGUAACUUGUGGACAUCUAAAUCUGUCAUGCUAUUAGAGCUAUUCGUGUUUUAAGUUCAUUAUUGCAAUUGCUAAUUUCCAAAUAUGAUCAGCACUCCUUAUUGAAAACCUCAGGCUUGUGACUGUAAAUCACUUACACCUGGUAAACAUUUGCAAUUUACUCUUGCUAUCUGUGUUAUGCUAAGUGAAAUAAUAUUCAGUCAUACAGAGUUGGUGAUGAUUAUCCUCAGGCUUCAGUGAAUAGGCAGACCACUCCAUCAACAUCAGAAUUGGUUGAUGGAAGAGAGUCAAAAUCUGGUUGUUGGACAGGAAUUCCUAGAUGUAGAAACAUUUUGGAAUGCAUUGGUAAGCACAGCCAUUUCCAUGAAGUUUGAGUUAACAUUUAUCAAGUCAGAUCGAUCUCGAGUGACUGCUAAAUGUGCUCAAGAUGGUUGCCCAUGGAGAAUCCAUGCAUUUAAGCUCCCUGAUGUUGAAACUUUCCAAGUAAAGACAUUGAAGGGAAAAGACUCUUGUGUACGACCAGAUUGAUCUUGCCAUCGACAAGGAAGAAUGAAAUGGAUAUUAAACUGCAUUGUGGAUCACAUCUGGGAGAUUAUUACUUACAAACCGAAGGAAAUCAUGAGGGAUUUGGAGCAGGAAUAUGGAGUCAUUAUACCUUAUUUAAAGGCCCAUCAAGCUAAGGAACGAGCCUUGGAAUUGAUAUUUUGGAUGCCAAUAUAGGAUAUAGUUCUUAAUCAAGGUGAAGUUCAGGGUGUAGAGAAUCCCAUGAAUGACGUGCUUGAUCAACAGAGAAAGAAACCUUUGAAAGGGAGUCCGGGUCAUUGCAACUUCUGCAAAAAGACAGGACAUAAUAAGAGGAGUUGCAUGAAGUUACGGAUUGGACAUAACAGGAGGACGUUCCAAAACAAGCACAUAUAACAACUUUGGAUGAGCUAGUUGUACUAAAGCUGUUGUGCUUCUAUGCAUCUGCUUUGUUGAGGGCAUGUUUUUCUCCAUACUCAAGAGUCGACUAGUUGAGUACUGUAUCUGUGCGGGAGGACAAAUCCUUAUCGUGCGUAUAAUAUAGCAAAUAUAAAAUAGUAGGGGCUUUUAGACGCCAAAUUAGAUGAUUUUGUGUUUCAUGUAAUAUUUAAACGAGUUGAUUUUGAAUUUUGUACAACUCGAAAAGUAUGUUAUAUAUUUGUAUGCCAACAUAAUGAGCAAAACUGUCUUUCAUGUACUGAACCAAGCAGUUAAUGCAUUUAUGAUUUUGUUUA